rnacentral:rRNA from 1 species
AGAGUUCGAUCCUGGCUCAGGAUGAACGCUGGCGGCGCGCCUAACACAUGCAAGUCGAACGAUUAAAGCACCUUCGGGUGUGUAUAAAGUGGCGAACGGCUGAGUAACACGUGGGCAACCUGCCCCUCUCAUUGGGAUAGCCACGGGAAACCGUGGAUAAUACCGAAUACUUCGAGACUUCCGCAUGGAAGACUCGAGAAAGCUCCGGCGGAGAGGGAUGGGCCCGCGGCCUGUUAGCUUGUUGGUGGGGUAACGGCCUACCAAGGCAAUGAUGGGUAGCUGGGUUGAGAGACCGACCAGCCAGAUUGGGACUGAGACACGGCCCAGACUCCUACGGGAGGCAGCAGUGGGGAAUCUUGCACAAUGGGCGAAAGCCUGAUGCAGCGACGCCGCGUGCGGGAUGAAGGCCUUCGGGUUGUAAACCGCUUUCAGCAGGGACGAGGCGAAAGUGACGGUACCUGCAGAAGAAGCCCCGGCUAACUACGUGCCAGCAGCCGCGGUAAUACGUAGGGGGCAAGCGUUAUCCGGAUUCAUUGGGCGUAAAGCGCUCGUAGGCGGUCUGUUAGGUCGGGAGUUAAAUCCGGGGGCUCAACCCCCGUUCGCUCCCGAUACCGGCAGACUUGAGUUUGGUAGGGGAAGGUGGAAUUCCUAGUGUAGCGGUGGAAUGCGCAGAUAUUAGGAAGAACACCAGUGGCGAAGGCGGCCUUCUGGGCCAUAACUGACGCUGAGGAGCGAAAGCUAGGGGAGCAAACAGGAUUAGAUACCCUGGUAGUCCUAGCCGUAAACGAUGGACACUAGGUGUGGGGGAAUAUUUCUUCCGUGCCGCAGCUAACGCAUUAAGUGUCCCGCCUGGGGAGUACGGCCGCAAGGCUAAAACUCAAAGGAAUUGACGGGGGCCCGCACAAGCGGCGGAGCAUGCGGAUUAAUUCGAUGCAACGCGAAGAACCUUACCAAGGCUUGACAUAUACUGGACCGCAUCAGAGAUGGUGUUUCCCUUCGGGGCUGGUAUACAGGUGGUGCAUGGUUGUCGUCAGCUCGUGUCGUGAGAUGUUGGGUUAAGUCCCGCAACGAGCGCAACCCUUGUCCCGUGUUGCCAGCACGUUGUGGUGGGGACUCGCGGGAGACUGCCGGGGUCAACUCGGAGGAAGGUGGGGAUGACGUCAAAUCAUCAUGCCCCUUAUGUCUUGGGCUUCACGCAUGCUACAAUGGCCGGUACAGAGGGUUGCGAUACUGUGAGGUGGAGCUAAUCCCUUAAAGCUGGUCUCAGUUCGGAUUGGUGUCUGCAACUCGACACCAUGAAGGUGGAGUCGCUAGUAAUCGCAGAUCAGCAACGCUGCGGUGAAUACGUUCUCGGGCCUUGUACACACCGCCCGUCACGUCACGAAAGUUGGCAACACCCCAAGCCCGUGGCUCUACGGGGAGCGGUUAAAGGUGGGGCUAGCGAUUGGGACGAAGUCGUAACAAGGUAGCCGUACCGGAAGGUGCGGCUG